GACGAACGCUGGCGGCGUGCUUAACACAUGCAAGUCGAACGGAAAGGCCCUGCUUUUGUGGGGUGCUCGAGUGGCGAACGGGUGAGUAACACGUGAGUAACCUGCCCUUGACUUUGGGAUAACUUCAGGAAACUGGGGCUAAUACCGGAUAGGAGCUCCUGCUGCAUGGUGGGGGUUGGAAAGUUUCGGCGGUUGGGGAUGGACUCGCGGCUUAUCAGCUUGUUGGUGGGGUAGUGGCUUACCAAGGCUUUGACGGGUAGCCGGCCUGAGAGGGUGACCGGCCACAUUGGGACUGAGAUACGGCACGGACUCCUACGGGAGGCAGCAGUGGGGAAUAUUGCACAAUGGGCGGAAGCCUGAUGCAGCAACGCCGCGGGCGGGAUGACGGCCUUCGGGUUGUAAACCGCUUUCGCCUGUGACGAAGCGUGAGUGACGGUAAUGGGUAAAGAAGCACCGGCUAACUACGUG
rnacentral:rRNA from 1 species